rnacentral:misc_RNA from 1 species
GAUGAAGAACGCAGCGAAAUGCGAUAAGUAAUGUGAAUUGCAGAAUUCAGUGAAUCAUCGAAUCUUUGAACGCAUCUUGCGCUCCUUGGUAUUCUGAGGAGCAUGCCUGUUUGAGUGUCAUUAAAUUCUCAACCGCACUGACUUUGAAUUGGUGUGGCUUGGAUUUGGGGGGAAAAUUGUUGUGGGCUUUUUUGUAUAGUCUGCUCCCCUGAAAUUGAUUAGCGGUACCUUUGUGGAACUGUCUACAGGUGUGAUAAUUAUCUACAUCCUAGACAUCUGCUGGAAUGCUGCUUUCUAAACCUUACUUGUAUUGACAAUCUUGACCUCAAAUCAGGUAGGACUACCCGCUGAACUUAAGCAUAUCAAUAAGCGGAGAA